AUUCUGCCCAGUGCUCUCAAUGACAUAGUGAUGAGAUUCAAACAAGCGCGGGUAAACGGCGGGAGUAACUACGACCCUCUUAAGGUAGCCAAAGGGCUGGUUGCAGGGUUUAGGGAUUGGGCGGAGUGUGAAGUUCUUGGUUGGAU
rnacentral:ncRNA from 1 species